UACGUAGGGGGCAAGCGUUGUCCGGAAUCAUUGGGCGUAAAGAGCGCGUAGGCGGCCCUGUAAGUCGAACGUGAAAUCCCCGGGCUCAACCCGGGAACUGCGUCCGAUACUGGGAGGCUUGAAUCCGGGAGAGGGAUGUGGAAUUCCAGGUGUAGCGGUGAAAUGCGUAGAUAUCAAGAGGAACACCUGCGGCGAAGGCGGGUUGCUGGGCCGACACUGACGCUGAAGCGCGAAAGCGUGGGGAGCGAACAGG
rnacentral:rRNA from 1 species